rnacentral:rRNA from 2 species
UUCCGUAGGGUGAACCUGCGCAGGGAUCAUU